ACCAGUGUUAAGAAAAUCCCCACUGUCCUGUAUGAGGACAAUGCAUCAUGUGUUGCACAAAUGAGUAAUGGAUAUGUUAAAGGUAAUCUCACCAAACAUAUUGCACCAAAAUUCUUUUAU